AGAACGAACGCUGGCGGCAGGCUUAACACAUGCAAGUCGAGCGCCCCGCAAGGGGAGCGGCAGACGGGUGAGUAACGCGUGGGAACAUACCCUCCGGUUCGGAACAACACAGGGAAACUUGUGCUAAUACCGGAUAAGCCCUUACGGGGAAAGAUUUAUCGCCGAAAGAUCGGCCCGCGUCUGAUUGGCUAGUUGGUGUGGUAACGGCGCACCAAGGCGACGAUCAGUAGCUGGUCUGAGAGGAUGAUCAGCCACAUUGGGACUGAGACACGGCCCAAACUCCUACGGGAGGCAGCAGUGGGGAAUAUUGGACAAUGGGCGCAAGCCUGAUCCAGCCAUGCCGCGUGAGUGAUGAAGGCCCUAGGGUUGUAAAGCUCUUUGUGCGGGAAGAUAAUGACGGUACCGCAAGAAUAAGCCCCGGAUAACUCGUGCCAGCAGCCGAC
rnacentral:rRNA from 1 species